rnacentral:rRNA from 1 species
AUACGGAGGGUGCAAGCGUUAAUCGGAAUUACUGGGCGUAAAGCGCGCGUAGGCGGUUUAGUAAGUCGGAUGUGAAAGCCCUGGGCUCAACCUGGGAAUUGCAUUCGAUACUGCUUGACUAGAGUAUGGUAGAGGGAAGUGGAAUUUCCGGUGUAGCGGUGAAAUGCGUAGAUAUCGGAAGGAACACCAGUGGCGAAGGCGACUUCCUGGGCCAAUACUGACGCUGAGGUGCGAAAGCAUGGGGAGCAAACAGGAUUAGAAACCCGAGUAGUCC